rnacentral:rRNA from 1 species
UACGAAGGGGGCUAGCGUUGUUCGGAAUUAUUGGGCGUAAAGGGCGCGUAGGCGGCUUUGCAAGUGGCGGGUGAAAUCCCUCGGCUUAACCGAGGAACUGCCUGUCAAACUGCAUGGCUUGAGACCAGGAGAGGUGAGUGGAAUUCCCAGUGUAGAGGUGAAAAUUCGUAGAUAUUCGGAAGAACACCAGUGGCGAAGGCGACUUACUGGACGACUGUUGACGCUGAGGUGCGGAAAGCGUGGGGAGCGA